rnacentral:misc_RNA from 1 species
GAUGAAGAACGCAGUGAAAUGCGAUACGUAAUGUGAAUUGCAGAAUUCAGUGAAUCAUCGAGUCUUUGAACGCACAUUGCGCCCCCUGGUAUUCCGGGGGGCAUGCCUGUCCGAGCGUCAUUGCCGCCCUCAAGCCCGGCUUGUGUGUUGGGUCUCGUCCCCCCUCCCGGGGGGACGGGCCCGAAAGGCAGCGGCGGCACCGCGUCCGGUCCUCGAGCGUAUGGGGCUUUGUCACCCGCUCUGUAGGCCCGGCCGGCGCUUGCCGAUCAACCAAAACUUUUUUCCAGGUUGACCUCGGAUCAGGUAGGGAUACCCGCUGAACUUAAGCAUAUCAAUAAGCGGAGGA